GGAGAGAUGGCCGAGUGGUUUAAGGCAGCGGUCUUGAAAACCGCCAGGGGCGAAAGCCUCUCGUGGGUUCGAAUCCCACUCUCUCCGCCA
rnacentral:tRNA from 1 species